CUGCAGACCGGGAGAGGCCACAGGAGCUCGGAUCUAGCAGUCUUCCACGGUGCCGGCACUGGGCCAGGGGCAGGGGCUGCGGCGCCGGCGUCUCCCCACCCCACCCACGACGGAGUCGCCAUCACCAGCGCCCGGCCGGGGCCGUCGAGGCGACACCAGGCGGUCUCAGCGAUCAGGGCCGCACGAAGGGAUCGGAGACAGAGAAACCAGGCUGUGACCGCUACAGAGAGACAACCCCUCCCGAGCUAACCGGUGGCUCAGGCGCUUUAAAUCCCUACGCGUGGAAGUAGGCAGGAAAAUGAAAUGAGCCACUGGGCCAAUCAGAAGUCUCCGCCCAACCUCGGAGGCGGGGCUUUCCCCCACGAACCAAUCAGAACCGUCGUCUCUGUUGCGCUUCCGCCAGCCUCACAAAGCGGUCUUUCCCGCGCCAAGUUCUGACUGUGCGGAGGUUGACCGGUCGCCAGAGGUGGAUGUGGGAGCCCCAAGGAGCCAGGCCUGUCAGGUGCCGGAAGAGCCUGCAGCCGCGGGCCGACCGGACACGAGAAUCGUGCUGCGGCCACCCCCGGGAGGCCACGUGGCCCUGGAAUACCCGCGACCAUGCCAUUGCUCUCGCGGCAACAGAGGGGCUCGGGGUGGCCCAGUGAGGAGGCCGAGGGCAGCAGUGGGACGUGCGGGGGGGGGGGGCCGCCCGACGUUGGCCAGGGCUCUGGGGUCCACUUGGCCGUGGCCGGCUUGUCCCUGGUGUGGCCUCUGGGCGUCGCGGGGUGAGCUGUCGGACCCCUAAGCCCCUGAGGCUGAGGUCGGGAGGCCCCGCGAGCACUCUGCCCAGCUUGGGGGCAAGGCCAAAGGUCAUCGGCGCCCGCAGCCAGCUCGCAGGGCUUGGGAGCCUUUGGGGGCUCUCAGUCCCCCCACGCACGUCCUGGUCAGCUGUCGCCCUCUAUCCAGCCCUCCCCCACACGUGUCCUCGCCGGUGGCCCGCCUCUUGUGAAUGGAGUGCGAGGGGAUUGCCAGGAAAGCUGGCGGAGGCCAGCACGUGAGCCGGCUGCAUCGGCAGAACGGGGCGGGGCGGAGCUGCCUCGCUGGCAGGGGUUUGGCCUGGCGGCUGAGGCCGGGUCAGGACACCAGCACCCCGGGCCGGCCAUGGCGUAGCAGGUGAAGCCGCCUCCUGUGGCGCCGGCAUCCCACAGCGGCGCCGGUUCACGUCCCGGCUGCUCCACUUCCAAUCCCGCUCCCUGCUGUGGCCUGGGAAAGCCGCGGAAGACGCCCGAGUGCCUGGGACCCUGCACCCGCGUGGGAGACCCCGAGGAGGCUCCUGGCUUCAGAUCGGCCCAGCUCCGCUCUGGCUGCUGGGACCAUCUGGGGAGUGACCCAGUGGACAGAACAUCUCUCUCUCUCUCUCUCUCUCCUCACUCAGCUUCCUGCUAACGCAGACAUGGCAGGGAGCGGCGAUGGGUCAAUCGUGUUCCUGCCACCCCAUCUGGAAGACCUGCAAUGCUGGGAUCCCCUGCCGUCCACGAGGGAGACUUGGAUGGAGGCACAGCAGAGCUGGACAGGAAGUGGAGCAGCCGGGACACAAACCAGCGCCCGCAUGGGAUGCCAGCACUGCAGGUGGCGGCUUUACCCACUACGCCACAAUGCCAGCCCUGAGGGACGUUUUAAGGUUGCAAGCUCUCCUAAAAAUGUUCUUUCUUUAUGAAUUUAAGAUGUACUUAUUUAUUGGAAAAGUAGAGUGACAGAGAGAGAGAGAGAGAGAGCGAGCUUCCAUCUGCUGGCCCCUCCCCAGGUAUCCUCAACAGCCAGGCUGAAGCCAGGAGCCAGGAAGCCCAUCCAGGUCUCCUGUGGGACUGGCAGGCACCCAGACACUGGGGCCACUGAAGACACGGCUCUGCCUGCACGUGCUCCGGCCAUCGGCACCCCCUCCUGAGACGGCUUCCCCACAGCCGAGCAAACCAGAGGGCGCGAGGCUGCUCCGAGUUGCUGUGGGAAAACGGGAGCCGGCAGCGUCCACUUUGAAGCAACAGCUUCUGGCUGAGUUCGGGGCUCCAGGGGAGACCAGACACUUGAUCUCAGGACCCCCAGGAAAAGACGGUCAUGAGUCGCCCGUCAGAACCAAGGCUGGAAGACAGGGAUCAAACAGCACCACCUCCGCUGCACGCGGUUACAGCGGGAGCUGCCCAGGCAGACCCUGGUGCCCUGGGAGACUGCGUGACUCAGGAUGUGACACACUUGGGCCUCAAGGGCAGAGCCCUCUGGGGACAGUAACCCGAGAGCUUCCCUUCCCGAGGGCUCUGCCUGGUACUGCGGACCACCUCCAGCUGGGUCAGCCGCCCUGAGGACCCGGCUUCCCGUAGCAUCCCUCUCCAUCCACCUUGCCGGGGAAGAGAGAAAGCCAGGGUCGGCGCCCACAGACCCAGGCAGAGGCCGGUGUCAGGAUCCCAGAAGAGGUGAGACUGAGGGGUGGGCACGGUGGGUGUCGUUGACAAGCUUUGAGGGAGAGGCUGGGUGGUGUCCACCUGUGCUGUGGGGACACUGGCCCAGAGGACCCCGCUUCAGAAAAGUGCUCCUGGGGCCAGCGCUGUGACGCAGCAGAAGCCGCACUGCGACGCCAGCAUCACACGUCGGGGCACCGGUUCAAGUCCCGGUUGUUCUGCUUCUGAUCCAGCUCCCUGCUAAUGUGUCUGGGAAGGCAGCAGAAGAUGGCCCUGCCACCGUGUGGGGGACCUGGUUGGAGUUCCAGGCUCCUGGCUUUGGCCUGGCCCCAGGCACAGUCAUUACGGGCAUUUGGGGCGUGAACCAGCUGAUAGAAGAUCGCUCUGCCUCUGUGACUUUCAAAUAAAUAAAAUAAAUCUGAAAAAUCGGUGCCGUCGACCCACCGGAGACAGCGGCUUGCUGGGCCCCCGUCACCUCUCGAUGGAUUUCGGGCAUCUGUCUGCCACAUGGCGAGGUGGAUGGCUUUGAUCACCAUUUACUUGCUCACAAUCCGUGGAGCAGGAGGCAGACAGCACCACAGGUGCUGUGAGCUGGAGUGCCCUGGGCUGCAUUCCCAGCCCCCAGACGCCAGCCCUGUCCCCCAGCCCAGAGUCUGGAGCGAGCAGUCAGGCCCAUUCCCAGGUGGGAGAGCGGAGGAGUCCUCUAGGGGCAGCGCCCACCAAGCCUGCCCUGAAGUUCACGGCUUCUCCCUCACGUGGGACUUGCCAUCAGCUUCCCUGUGCACUCCCAACGCAACAGACACCAACAGGCACCAUGCGACUGCCGGGCACGCGAGGGGCUUCCCUGACAUGAGAGACAAGAAUGAACAGGAAGACUGGGUGAGCCUGUGGUGCAGUGGUCAAGCUCCCAUUGCAGGGCCAGUGUCCCAUAUCAGGGGUUCGAGUCCCAGCUCCCUGCUAAUGGCCUGAGAAAGCAGCAGAGCAGGGCCCAAGUGCUUGAGCCCCUGCCACUCACGUAGGAGAUCUGGAUGGGUUCUUGGCUCCUGGCUUCAGCCUGGCCCAGUCCCAGCCAUCGCAGCCAUCUGAGGAGUGAACCGGCAGACAGAAGACCGCUCUCUCGCUGACUUUCAAAUAAAGAAAUAAAUACUCUAAAAGGAGGAGGAAGAGACUAGAAAGAAAUACGCCACUCAGAGAAGACAGGGACCCCAGAGGCAGAACCCUAGAAAAGAUUCACAGGAACUUUAAUCAUCGUCUUCAGGGAGAUAAAAGGCCUUACACCCAGCAUGUCAGAGAGGAAGUCCGCUAGAAGAAUAUUUAGGGGAAAAGGAACUUUUGGGAAUUACAAGUAUGUCAGAAAUGAAACAUCUCAGGUGACAGUCAAACAUGUCAUAUAAAAAUAGAACAAAAAGACAAAAGUGUGGAAAGGUAAUGGGAGAAUUGUUGAGGAGGGCCAGACAGGGCAGAAAACCAGGUAAUGGAGGCAAUGGGCGCCUGUGGACCACAGUGCCGAUCCUGGGCAGAGGGAUCUCCAGGUCUGGCAGGUCACUGAUGGAAAAGAACCCGACACAGACGCCACAGCAAGCUUAGCCCGGAACCUAAAACCCACGGAAAUACAGUGGAGAGCCCUCAGCCUUCCAGACGGGGGAGAACAAAGAGGCCACGCCGGGCGGGAGAAGGAAUUUGGAAUUGCGUCAGAUCGCGUGCGAGUGAUUUUGAAACACGGCCACAAAGCCCCAGACACUCAGCGAUCUCUGGGGACGCUGGGCAGGCUCGUGCCUGCCUGGACAAGGGGAUGCUGCGGAAGUGACGCCGUGGCCCUCACAGCUGGGCUUUGUAGAUCCUCUGUGCCACUCAUCACAGGCUUCGUGCGAGGGGUCCCACUGCCUGGAGGCUGCGGGGGAGGGGGGAGGAUGGGUGCUGGGGCCUUGGCCAGCCCGACUUCCAGGUGCCAGCCAGCUGGGAAAGAAAGCCUCAAGGUGACCUUGGAAGAGCUGUCACCUGACUGUGACCCCAGGAGACUGAGAACUGCCCGGAUUCACAGGAGACAGAAUUGGUAAAACCAAUCCAUCGUUUUAAGAAAAAUGACUGGAUCCCUUACCUCACGCCAUACCCAGUCAACUCCAGAGAGAUCACUGGUUCUCAGCCGGGCGCCCGGCAACAUUGGGAUGCGUCUGUGUUGUCAUGGCUUGUGGGGUGCUGCGGGCUCCUGGGGGAGCUGCGUGGUACCCACAGUGCACAGGACUGCGCCUGCCACGAGGACAUCUCCAGCCUGAACCGCCCGUGGGUCCAGGCAGAGUGACCGCGCAGCAGGGUCCACCUACAUGCUGGACGGGAAGAAAACCCCAACCAAUAGUAACAAUGCUGCUGAUGAUGAUGAUAAGGACGUCCUCCUGACCCUGGCAUGACUGCACAGGGCCCCUGACCGGAUGACCUUGACUACUCAAAGCUGAAGGUCACGUGUCAGAUCUGUCACAUCUGACAGAUGGCAAACUCAGGCAACACCUGCAGCAUCUGACAGGGAGGAAGCCUUGUGGUUAUGGCAGGGAAGGCGGUGACCUAACUAAGUUCUUCAGAAUCCCCCCAAAGCCGCAAGCAACAGGAGAACCAAGCAUGCGCCCCCCACCCUUGGGAAAGUCGGAGGCACAGGAAGUGAUGACGGCUAUGAACUUCUACACACCAAACCACACACCCAGACAUCCGCAAAGCAAAAGCCGACAGCAGCGGCUGGCGGUGUGGCAUAGCGGGUUAAGCCGCCUCCUGCACCGCCAGCAACCCAUAUCAGUGCCAAUUUGGGUCCCAGCUGCUCUGCUUCAAAUCCAGCUCCCUUCUCAUGCACCUGGGAAGGCAGUGGAGAUGGCCCAAGUGCUUGGCCCCUGCACCCACGUGGGAGACCCAGAUGAAGCUCCUGGCUCCUGGCUUCGGCCUGGCCCAGCCCCUCCCAGCUGCUAUGGCCAUUUAGGGGGCGAACCAGUGGAUAGAAAUUUUCCUCUGUGUCUCUUCCUCUCUGUCUCUGUAACUCUGCCUUUCAAAUAAAUCUUUGAAAAAAAAAAAAAAAAAAAAGCUAAUGAGAGGCCAGGACUUUGGCAGCUCUAAGGAACAGGAAGAGAACGAAGGCGAAGGCACCAGCCUUUUCAUUGCUACUGGACAUUUGCUAAGAUAGCCAUGUUCCAUGCCUCAAGGAGGGAGUUAGAGGGGCUGGCUCUGUGGCGCAGUGCAUUAAAGCCCUGGCCUGCUGCAUUGGCAUCCCACAUGGCGCUGGUUCGAGUCCCGGCUGCUCCACUUCCUGUCCAGCUCUCUGCUGUGGCCUGGGAAAGCAGUAAAAGAUGGCCCAAGUCCUUGGGCCCUGCACCCAUGUGGGAGACCCAGAAGAAGCUCCUGGCUCCUGGCUUCAGAUCAGCCCAGCUCCAGCCAUUGCGGUCAUCUGGGGAGUGAACCAAUGGAUGGAAGACCUCUCUCUCUGUCUGGCUCUACCUCUCUGUAACUCUGUCAAAUAAAUUUAAAAAAAAAUAUUUUUUUAAAGUAAGAUUUAGAGCAUGAGGGAGAGGCAGAGACAGUACAGCUAACAGUCUCAGAAAUAAAACUAAAAAUAGCAAAAACCAGGAAACGAAAAACAGCCUACCACCUGCACAUUUAUAAAUCUCACUUAACGUGACUCCUGUCAAAAGAGGAAAUAAACACUGAAAUCGCAGCGCCUCUAGCAAACGGUAAUAAAGGAGCUCCAUAUAUCAGCGCCCAGGUCUGCUUGUCCGACUGCCUCAGACUACAGCCGCGGCUGGGCCAGCCGCGCACACCUUGUUCUUCAAAACAGCCUGGCCGGUGGGUGCUUUGCUGUUGCUUACAUUUAGCGCCAGCUUUCGCAGUUUCAGGCGCAUCCCGGUGGGGUUUCUGCCGGGAACUUGCAGUGAGCGUAUCCAUUCAUUUGGAAGGAAGCGGCAUCUUUAUUCAAUUAUCCCACCCCACCUGGGAAGGCCCGCUGAGCAGCGAGGGGGCUGGGGGCCUGGGCGCACGCAGGAGGAAGUCAUAAAUACCGCCCCGGCCUGGGGGACCCCCAUCCCGCAGCCUUUGCGGCCAGAGGUUUGCCCGGGGGAGGAAGCUGGCUUCGCAAGGUGCAGAGCCGUCAAGGGAACAAGACGAACAGCUCACCCUGUUUCUAACGACACUUCAACGGGUUCUUGCUCUUUCUUUUUGCUGAUUUAUGGGAGGCGCUUGCGCACAGGGCAGCCGAGUCUUCCGUUCCUAACAGCUUGGAUUAGGCGGAGGCGGGCGUAAGCUCCUCUGAGCAUCUGGCAUCUCAAGUAGCCCUCAAGGGCCACGCGGUGCCCGUGGGGAGGAAGCAGAGCCCCGAGCUUUUGUGUUGGGAGACAAAGGAGGUGCAGGCAGGAAGCCAGGUGUAGGCAGGGGACCCACACGGAGACACCAGGUUCCCAGCUCGGCUCCCAGGGCUCUGCACAGGCUCUGCUGCCCUGGGAGCCACAGGACACAGGUGCCCACUGAGGUCCCCCCGAUGGACGCUGCAGGCCAUGUCCCAUGCUUGAGGACCAGGCUGAGCCGAGGGGGGACCCUGAGAUCCAGGACUGAGAGGAGAGGGUCUGGGAGGGAUCCGAGCCAGGCCAGCAGGGAGGGAGAGCUGCGCCGUGCCUCAGCGGCUGGGGGCUCCCCUCCUUCACCCUGACCGUGGCUUAAAGGCACGGGAAAGUCAACAGGGAGAGUCCUAGCCCCUGACGCAGAGCAGGUGCACCCUGUGCUUUGCAACCCCAACAAAACCCCAGGAGGACAAGGACAAGCUCUGUGGAGUCUCUCCCCGAAGGAAACAGGAAGAGGGCCCCCAGCCAGGGCCCGAGCUGGAGCCUGGGUCUCCGCCAGGGAGCGGGAGCACAGCCAGGCGGAGCACACAGGCUGGGGGCCAGGUCCUGGGUGUGUACCCGGGGCUGGUAGAGCCGACCGCCCAGCCACGGCCUUGGCCAGGCCUCCGCCACCAGCCUGGAGCAGAAGCCGGAAGUGCAGACCCAAGGGAGAACACAGGAGUGCGGGUGGUGGUGGUGCAGGGACAGCAGAGUUCCGGUGGGGUCCACCGCCUUGCGCCUGGGAAAGGAGCGGAGGACGGCCCAAGUGCUCAGCGCCCUGCAGCGCCUGGGAGACCUGGACGGAGCUCCUGGCUCCUGGCUCCAGCCUGGCCCAGCCUCAGCCAUUGUGGCCCCUUGAGGAGUGAACCAGUGGAUGGAAGAUCUCUCUCUCUCUCUCCCUCCCUCCCUCCCUCCCUCUUUUUCUGUGACUCUGCCAGCGCUGCGGCUCACUAGGCUAAUCCUCCGCCUUGUGGCGCCGGCACACUGGGUUCUAGUCCCGGUCGGGGCGCCAGAUUCUGUCCCGGUUGCCCCUCUUCCAGGCCAGCUCUCUGCUGUGGCCCGGGAGUGCAGUGGAGGAUGGCCCAAGUGCUUGGGCCCUGCACCCCAUGGGAGACCAGGAGAAGCACCUGGCUCCUGGCUUUCGAUCGGUGUGGUACGCCGGCAGCAGCACGCCACUGGAGCAGACAUUG